UUCUUAAAGAUUUUCUGAAAUCAGUAUCUGAUGUAUGGUUUUCCUCACUCACUCAUCUGCUGCCAUAUAGGUAUGGUAGAUCACCACAGUCAGGUCAGGUCAGCAUUUUCAGUUCAUUUCCUACUCAAUUCAUACUUGAUUUCUCUGUGAUGUUGUUGAUGCGGUGAGGGUGGAGGGGAAAAUAUAUUUGGAAAUAUGUCUGCUGCACCAAUACACAGGUCCACUGUCACGUGUGCAUUGCAGUUUGCAGUCCCUUUUUUAGACUCUGGGCUCGAAGUGCAAGCACCCCUAGUCGACAUGGCAACAAAAUCCGUACUUGCAACUGGCCCAGCAGUAAGGCGGCAUGAGGGCUGGCUCUUUUGCAUGAGACAAGGUCGUCCUUUCAAACGGACACCAAAAUAAAAAACAUGGGGUUGCCACAGCGUGUCAUCCUUUUCCAUCUGUCUUGCCUGGCAGCUCCAUCCUCAUCAUCCUUCUACCAAGAUACUCACUAUUUCUCCUCUGGACGUGUCCAAACCAUCGAAGUCUGCUCUCUCUAACUUUGUCUCCAAAACAUCGAACCGUGGGUGUCCCUCUGAUGAGCUCAUUUAAAAUUUUAUCCAACCUGGUCUCUCCGAGAGCGAACCUCAACAUCUUCAUUCCCGCCACCUCCGCUCUGCUUCCUGUUGUCUCUUCAGUCCCACUGUCUCUAAUCCGUACAUCAAGGGUGGCCUCACCACUGUUUUAUAAACUUUGCCCUUCAUCCUAGCCGAGACUCUUCUGUCACAUAACACACCUGACACCUUCCUCCACCCGUUCCAACCUGCUUGGACCCGUUUCUUCACUUCCUGACCACACUCACCAUUGUUCUGGACGGUUGACCCCAAGUAUUUAAAGUCAUCCACCCUUGCUAUCUCUUCUCCCUGUAGCCUCACUCCUCCCCUACCACCCUUCUCAUUCAUGCACAUAUAUUCUAUUUUACUUCAGCUAAUCUUCAUUUAUCUUCUUUCCAGUGCAUGCCUCCAUCUUUCUAACUGUUCCUCCACCUGCUCCCUGCUUUCACUGCAGAUCACAAUGUCAUCUGCAAACAUCAUGGUCCACAGGGAUUCGGGUCUAAGCUCAUCUGUCACCCUAUCCAUCAGCACUGCAAACAGGAAGGGGCUCAGGGCUGAACCCUGAUGCAGUCCCACCUCCACCUUAAAUUCGUCUGUCACACCUACAGCACACCUCACCACUGUUCUGCUGCUACUGGAUUUGGAGCUGGUGAAUUAUUGCUUCAUGAAUGAAGUUGUCAUCAUCACCGGACUCUAUAAGGGCAGUAAUGGAGGUGUUCUGAGCAGAAACUAUAAUGCAAGCAUGAACGCUCUUGGGAGAGCUUGAGGGAAUGGAGGUUUGGGUCACCACGACGCUCACGGGUCGCGGUGAGCCUGGUCUUUUGAUCAGAGGGGGGAUGAGGAAAUAAAGUGACCGGAUUGACCGCAGUAGAUACACUGGAUGACUUGACGCUGACGCUCAUGUGGGUCUAGACGUGUUUUACCAAUUUGCAUGGGGUCUGUGGUAGCUACAGGGAGUGACGGAAGUGCGGGAGACGGUGCGGGAGGCGGGUGAGAAGCUGACAGCGUGGUGCUCUGAGAGGGAGGAUUCUUACAUAUGCGGACCCUCCUCUCUUGUGCUCUCUCUCACAGUCGGUAAUCAAGCCGAAUGGAAAGGGCAACGAGAUCCUUGAGAGAGGAGCGCUCGUCCCUGACCGCUAGAUCAUCGUUGAGUUGGUCAGAGAGGCCAUUUGAAAAAAUCCCCCCAAGCGCCGCGUCCUCCAACCCGCAUUCACCUGCCAAUAUCCGGAACUCAAUGGAAUAUUCCGCUGCUGAUUUAGCGCCCUGUGUGAGCAUGCGCAGGCGAGAGGGGGCUUAUUUGCCCUGAACUGGGUGAUCAAAUACUUUGCGGAGUUCGGCGGAAAAAGAAUCGAAUGAAGUACCGGAGAGGAGUUUCACCAUCAUGAAGUGGACCAUUUUGCUGCUUUGCCGUGGAGGAGCAAUCAUCACCUCCUCAACCGCGCACUUGUUCCCAAUCAGCACUCAUCACUGCCUGCAUAUAAGCCUGUCAGAUCCAGGAAUCCAGCGCCAGAGUAUUUACGCUCGUUCGUGUGCUCCUUCCGUGUCUCCCGCUUCACUGCCCGCGCCAGCCACACCGUCAAGCUCUUUCACCUGCCCACGCUCCCGCUUCCUGCACCUUUCCUGUUCCAACGGACCAUUAUCAUUCCUCGGAUAUCCUACUCCCUGAGCUACGACCUAAUAAACCAUUCUUAUCUACUUCCUCCGCCGCCGCCUGCUUUUGGGUCCAGUCCCAUAUCAUACGAUUAUCAAUCGUGACAGUUUGAAGGGCACAAUUGCUAUGAAGUUAUGCAAGGCAUGAAUUUCAACAGGACACCACCAUUUUGUGUUGUAUUGAAUGAAAUUGUUCUUCAUAAAUAAGUUAUCAUCGUUUAGGAUUUUUCUCAUACAACUUGAAAAAAUAUUUGUUCUGAUUAAAUUUGCGUUGGACUGCCAUGAUAUUAGUGUAUUAUACUAAUACUAAUACUUUACUAGUAUGACUCAAUAAUGUUUUGAAAAUAGGACUUAAAGCAUGACUGUUUCAGCAUGGAAGACAUUUACCCAUAUAAAGCCAAGACGGCAUAAAAAAAUUGCUAAAUUUGAAAAGAAUUGUGUGCCUUUCCUGUAAAAAUCUAUUUACCAUUAAAUAUGGUAUCUGCUUUCGCUGGAGUUUAGAUUUAGUAGUUAGAUUAUUUGUGUUGCUUGGAAAGAAGCUGUUGUGUAUAUUUCAGAGAUGUCAAGUUCGCUUUGACAGGAUCGCACCGGCAGAUAUCCGAUGCCAACAUGUGAAAGCGCUCUGAUUCCGAUCUGAGAACAUCCGAUUACACUGAUUUUCUCUUUAUGCUGCUAAGAUGCCUAUCUGAAUUGUGCCACUCGAGAGCAAACAUAAGUGUUUUUGAGAAAUAUUAUUGAAACUAUAUUUAACAAGAUAAAGGUUUGUUGGAAUCAAGCUUAAGUGGUACUUCUAUGACACAAAUCAAUAGUUCUGAAUCAAGAUUUUAACUGUUGUUUUACCAUAUAUAGUUAUUUCCUAAAUUCUAAAAUAUAUUUUAUUUAAAAUGCUGGUAGAGUUUAAUCCAUUACACGUUAGUAUUAGCAUGUAUGCUUCAACUGUCACACUAGUUUUUCAGGGUCCGUAGUUAGUAGAAAUAUAAAGCACUCUUUUCUAAAAUGCAA